AGUCCUCUCUAAGCUGACAGCUCUGAGACACCGGAAGCAAAUGCGGUUUGGUGACGCUGCAUUAGGCUGCAAGACAUGAUUCGGUCAACAGAGCUAUUCGGGUUGCUGCUCCUGAGCCUGGCUCUUCCCGGAGCUCAGGCGCUUACGCCGUCUCACCACCUGUCCCUUUCUGAUGUGGGUCGGCUGCAAAACCUCCUUAACCAAGAAUACACCGACCUGGAGUCCGCAUACUACUCUGUGGUUGGCCUCUCCAAGCUCGGAGCGGCUGUUCCAAAUCCUGCACAAGUUUGUCAGUUCCUGAAAUCCCAGCUCGACCCCAGUAGUGUUGAUUCUCUGUUCUUCGCUGCUGAAACCAGUCAGGCCAUUUCUGGAUGCGAGAUCCCUGUAUCAAAUGAAACUAGGGAAAUCCUUCUGGCAGCCGUCAGUGAGGAUUCGUCCAUGUCUCAGAUCCAUCGAGCUGUGGGUGCUCUCAGCUCUUUGGGGCUCCCUCUCGCCUCACAGGAAGUUGUUAGCGCCCUGACGGCACGCAUCAACAAGGAGGACAAUGUCAUGGCUAUCAUCUCUGCUCUGCAGACUGCAUCCCGUCUGUCCCAGCAGGCAGAACUGGGAGGAAUCCUGGAGGAGAUUGAGGAUCUGACAGCUCGUUUGGAUGAUCUGGGAGGCAUCUACCUCCAGUUUGAAGAGGGACUUGAGGCCACAGCCCUGUUUGUGGCAGCAGCCUAUGGCCUCUCAGAUCAUGUGGACAUGGAGCCCCCUCUCAAGGAGGAUCAAGUCAUCCAGCUGGUGAACUCCAUUUUUAGCAAGAAAUCAUGGGACUCUCUGUCUGAGGCCUUCAGCGUGGCGAGUGCUGCUGCAGCUCUGUCCAACAACCGCUUCCAUGUCCCUGUCAUCGUCAACACUCAGGGUCCAGCCACUGUGUCACACAACCAGCCAACCCUGCAGCUCCUCGUCACUGAUGUCAUGUCCCAGCCUCUGAACUCCGCCGACGUGCUGGUCGAGUCUGCGUUUGCUGUGGCCUCCAAGAGCGCCGUUCUCAACCAAGAACCUUUCACUCAUAAUGAUGGUGUCUUUGAACUGAACUUCAUGUCGAAGAAGCCAGCAAGUGGAUAUUACCAGUUCACCAUCGGUGUGACCGGGGACAGCCGAUUGGUUGCCAAUCAUGUUGAGCUGAAGGUGAAGGUUUCCACUGAGGUUGCCGUUACCAACAUGGACCUCUCUGUGGUGGAUAAGGACCAGAGCAUUGGCACAAAGACCACCAGGGUUCAGUAUCCCUCCAAAGCCAAGAGCCCCUUCACAGCAGACAGCCACCAGAACUUUGCCAUGUCCUUCCAGCUGGUCGACGUCAACAAUGAGCAGGAGCUCACCCCUCACCAGACCUUCGUCCGGCUCCACAAUCAGAAAACCGGUCAGGAGGUGGUGUUUGUUGCUGAACCCGACAGCAAGAAUCUCUACAAGUUUGAGUUGGAUACGGCGGAACGGAAAUCUGAGUUUGAUACCAUGUCUGGAACCUACUCUCUGUACCUCAUCGUUGGAGACGCUACCUUAGAGAAUCCCGUUUUGUGGAAUGUGGCUGAUGUUGUCCUGAAGUUUGCCGAUGAAGAAGCUCCAGUUGCUGCUCAACCCAAGACCCUUUAUGUACCUAAACCAGAGAUCCAGCAUUUGUUCAGGGAGCCUGAAAAGAAGCCUCCAACCGUGGUUUCCAACACCUUCACUGCUCUCGUCAUGUCUCCCCUCCUGCUCCUGCUCAUUCUGUGGUUUAAACUUGGAGCCAACAUCUCCAACUUCAGCUUCUCUCCAAGCACCAUCCUGUUCCAUCUGGGACAUGCCGCCUUGCUCGGCCUUAUGUACGUCUACUGGACCAACCUGAACAUGUUUCAGACUCUGAAGUACCUGGCAAUCAUCGGCGGUGUAACUUUCCUUGCCGGGAACCGCAUGCUGGCCCAGAAAGCUGUGAAGAGGAUUGCUGCAGAGCAGAGUAGUAGGUUGGCAAAGUAUAGGAGCCUUCGGUAAAGCCCCCCUCCCCUUCUUUUGUAACAUAAGAGUGGGUUCUGCUUCCAGGCUGAAGAUGGAGAGGAAAUAGGGGCAAAAAAAAAAAAAUCAAAGAAGACACCGAUGGUCAUUUUUUUUGUUUGCAGCAAAAUCAGACUAUGAGAAAAAAAAAAUGGAACAGAUGUUCAAGAAUCCAAUUGACGGUUUAAACAUGCAGUUUGGCUGUGAUGGGAAAAGGAAAGGAUGGACGUCAUUGUCUCUGAAAGACUGGACAAACACUGACAGAUUCUCCUGCAGAGGGCUGCAAAGCUACUGAUCAUUGCACUUCCUCUCAUCUUUUCUUUUUGUCCAACAUAGUUUUCAGUGAGCUGGAUUUUGUUUGUGGUUUCUAGAUGAGAUUUGGGUUUUUUCAUUUUUUUUUUUUUUUGUACAUUCCUCUUUGUUGAUGCUCGGUGCCCAUUUCACCUCAGAAAGGAGCAGCUUCUUCAAUAAAUAGCUAACAAUUGGACGUAGCACUGACACCUGGAUUGAUCUUACCCACGCUGCUCUGUUUGGCUGUGGCACUGUUCUAUUUUUGACGCAAAAUGCUCCCAUGAAAAUUUAUUGAUUACAUAUGGGCGGUUUCAUAAUGUUUUUGUAAUGAAGACGGGAAAAUAAAGAAGCUGAGGUGAAC